UAAAUAUUAUCUUUCUGGAACUUCUCUUAAUUGGAAUUGUUUCUCAAAUAACUACAUUUUUCUCCCUUGAGCUCAUUCUUUAGUCUAUCCAUAGUGGGCUGGUGCCUGGAGCAUCAAUCAGCAAUCAAGAAAAUGCCACACAGAUAUGCCCAUAUGCCAAUCCGCUGGAGGAUCCAACUGAAGGUUUUAAAGCUUCGGACAUAUCUGACUGCACCACUUACUUCUGUACCCAGGACCUCUUUUAUUGUUUGUGAUUGAGAAGACUAAUUGGAUGGAGCCAUUUCAUCGACUGAGGUCCCUGACUAUGUCAGACUGACAACCAAGGAUGACCAUCAUACACGAGCAGCAUGGAAAGUGGGAAUGAUCAUCUCCCAGGACCCUCACUGUCUCAGUGUGCCCUGGAAUCAUCUCUCUUUUGGCUUAUCCUUUCACAAAAGAAUCAAUAUGAAGCAUCAAUAAUGAAGGCAUAAAAAAAUCAAAAGCAGCUUUAGAUCAAAAAUUUGACAUUAUUCACCAAAAAGAAUUGCUCCUAGGGUGGAGUGCAUCAUGGGUAGGGCCUGGCCCAAAGAGGGGAACCAGCAGACCUCUUUGCUGCUGAAAGAGCCUCACUCUGCAUUUUCCUGUGCACUGCAGGAUUCACCUGCUUCAGUCUUCUCUCAGCCUCUGUUAUUAUCAAUGUUUAAUUUUAACGGAUGAAGGGAGGAUUUUGGUGUGGGUGGCUUGCUUCUUUUUGUUGUUGUUAAAUGUAGCAACAAACAAUCAAAUCAGAGGAAGAAGAAUACAAAGAAAAUGGGUCGUGAAUACAGAAAAAGGUCAGGGCUCUAGUAUUUAGUGCCGUGUCUGGGGAACCAUUAACUAUGUGGUGAUUGGCAGUUUUAACAGUACCUUCUGCUCUCUUUUGCCAGCAACUAUGCAAUUAUUCCAGGUGUUGUAGUGGAAUGACUCUACCAAGUUUUAUAGGAUUAAUCAGCAUGUGAAUGUUGGCAGGCUUCAGGCUCGAAUCCCAGCUUCAGGUGCUGAGCUCAGGACGGAGGAAGACAAACACUCCUCGGGUUUGUUUUUAAAAGGGAUUUAUAAAUUGGCCGUACUGCCUCCACCCACAGAUCCAGUUUACUUCAUGACAUUUUGCUCAGAACAGUCUCUCUUUUGAGAUUACACACACACACACACACACACACACACACACACACAAAUCAUCUUUGUGCUAAGUGGUAAGAUUGGCCCUAAGUAUACCACACACGUGUAUCACAACUGCAUAGUUCCUCUUCGAACUUUGAGAUGUUUAAGUUUUUUUAUCUGUUGUUUAUAACUCCAUCAUGUGCCUUAAUAGUGAGUGGAAAAAAGGCAAACAAGGUCUCCAUUUCCUCCAUCUGUCAGCUCUUCCUUUGGGGGAGUCAAAGGAAGAUUUAAGAAGGAUUUGGAACACUGUGUGAGGCUUAUUGUCUAUUAUGUAACUGUUUGGAAUAAGUUCUUCUACUCAUGGGCUUCCAGGGGCUCCUAAUUGCCUAGAGCAGUAGCAUUGGAUUAUUUCUUCUUGCCAAAAGCCACUUAGUCUCUGCCUGAGUAACAGUGCCCUACAGCAGAACCACACAGUGUAUCUUGGCCAUGGCAGGAGGGAGCAGAACAGGGUCAUGGGGCCCUUCUAACACUUGGCACCCUUUCUCACCUCUGGCUUCAGCUAAGAAGAGCUAGUCCUGAGCACAUAGCUCAAACAUAUGCUUCCUGUUCAAGGAUGCUGAGCCCUGCUUUAACCUAUUUGUUUGAUUAUCCUUCAACCCUAUAACAAAAUAAAUUGAAAAAAAAAAAACACACUUAUCACCAUAUAUUUAUAUAUUUAUUGCUACACCUAUUAUUUAUCUUUUGACUUCCUUUCCAAGUGGAGGACAAGUUUGGCCUCUCCUGUUUAGGUUCCUUUGCUUUUCACCAACAACCCAUUCCUUGUUUGAACUACUUCUUCUGUUGGUCUAUCAACAUGGGCAGAUUUGAAACUCAUCAGAAAUGAACGUUACAGGCUCUUAAAUGCUAGAUCAUGGGGGCCUUCAUUACCCUAUAUGGGGGCCUUAGUACUACCACCAUAUUUAUGUGAAAAUCCUUUUGAAAUAUCUGAUUUUUGUUUUGUUUUCCUCAAUGUUUUUAAUCCAAUAGUAAUUGAAGGGCCAGUAAUUAAUAAGGAAAGUUUCCAAUCUUGAAAGGGUUAGGCUAACUUUGUAACCUAUAUGUCUUUUAAAGCCUAUAGUUUUGAGUUUUAGGUCCAGGUUAAGCUAAAGCCUCUUAGUACCUUUCCAGAGAAUGGAGGAAUGUGACCCUAUCUGUGAGGACAGAUAUAAAAAAAGGCAAGCAAGCAAUGACCUUCACUCAGCAAAAGAAGAACCAGACCCUUGUCUUUGAGAUAGCGUUUCUUAGCAACGAACCUAGAUUUCUUCUGAGUAGCUUUUGACCUCCAGCCAAAAGUCUGUAGUCCCUAAUCUUCAAGGAUGAGCUAACCACCCCCACCUUCAAUUGCAGCUGCAUCCACACUUGGCAGGACUGGCCAAGCUUGAGCACCUAAGACUAACCAAUUAUCUUACUUUAUAGCUUCCUCAUCCAAUCCUAAAUUGGCAAGACUGCAACUUCAAAUCUCCUGCAAUUUUUCUUUUAAAAACCUAAAGGCCUUUGUCUCCUGGUGCCACUCUUUGCUGACCGGCAGGGGUGACCCCAUUGUGCAAUGGUUAAUAAACCUCUUGCUUUUGCAACGAGUCUUGGUCUGGGGGAGUUUCUGGGAAGGGUGCGAUCUUGAACUCCUGAGCUGUGAGACCCCAGGUCUUACAAUCUGAAGUGGAAUUAAAAGUGAGUUUAGAUAUCACUGAAUUCCUUACUCUGUGGGAAUAAAGAACCAAUACUUUUCUGUUUAAAAAUACAAGGAAGCAUAAGUGUCCUGAAUUUAGCAACAUUUUUAUGUGUUCUGGGACCUAAGAGCACUGUAAGAGGAAAAAACCCCAUGGUGACAUAUGUCUUCCUACAGAAAUGUAAUAUCUUUUAGAACUCAUGUAAGUGAUGAUGACAAAAAGCAAAAAUACUAAUGUCAAAAAAGAAGAGAAAGUAAGGCCAGAAAGUGAGACUAGCAGAACAGGCAUUAAAAUCUUAUCAAAAUAUGGGUUCUAGUUUCUGUUUUUCUCUUGCUCUUGAAGUCUUUGUAGACUUUAUAAACACAAAUAAAACAUGUGUGCAUGCCAUUAUCUUUAUAGUGCAACUGGCACUGGGACCGGCAACCCAGUGGCUGGCUGUGCUGCUCUUUCCACGAUGGCUCCAUGGUUCUUAAAGGAAGCUUGAGUGACCUCAGCAGCAGGAUUUGGUGCUCGGCAGUAGCACUGCAGUUCCUUGAGAGUGGACCAGGAUCUUCAGGAAGCCACUAGUACCAUAGAUUUUGUUCGCUUCUUGACCCCAUCACCAAUGUUGGGCACCAAUUUCUGGCCCUUGAAUUUUUUCCAUACUCUGUGGGCAAUCCCUCUGGGUUUUUACCAGUUUGCACUUUCUUUUGACAUAGGAAUCUGGUGCUGGAACUUGUUGGCCUUCUUUUCCAGGAUCUUGGGCUUCACACUAGGUCUGAGCGCAGUAAUGAUGCCUAGCAGGAUUUGGUAGCUACCUGGCAGGGAACACCAAAGAAGAAGCAGAUCUUCAUUUUCUAGUCUCUACUGAAAACCCAGAUCUGAUUUAGAAAAGAAAAAAAGUAUGAACUGUAUCCUGAAACACUGAUGGCAUAAGUUCAGACAUAGCUUGAACUGGGCAAUGGCAGAGCAGUGGGAAGAAGGAGGGAUGGGAGCAUAGCUUCAGAGCAGACACAGCAAGUCUUCGCCAUGCUUGAGCUAGGGCUGAAGGAGAAAAUGCCCCAAAGUGCAAGCGCUUUUCCUACUUGCACUUGAAGGUAUUUCAUCCAUACACAGGGAGAAAGACAGUGACUUGUGCACACAUGUGUAAGACAUCUACCUGCAGGUAUCAAACAUUACGAUGACUCACAACUCUGUAGAUAAUGAGUGACUCUUGUAGCCACAGUUUAAUAGGUUAGAAAAAUUAUACUCCUACCAUCUGUCUGGAAAAGAGGGGAUUUGGAAAUCUAGGUGAUAACAUCAAACUGAUAGGACGUCAUGCUUGUCAAGAUGUCAUUAAGCUAGACAUGCUAUAAACAUGUAAGGUGUUAAUAUUAUCACACUACAAAGUAAAUUAGCUGCGAAAACAUGCAGUAACUGACAGCUGUUUUUCACUUUACAGAGUAAUGUUACAUAUCUCCUGCCGGCAAGAAGAACCAUUUCCUAAGGAGCUUUGGAUGACUAAGGAGCCGUGGCAAUUUGUUGUGUUUACCUCUGUGUCAUAUCUCCAGACUGCUUUGUCAUUGACACCUCAAGAACAAAGGGCCUAGUCAAAGGCUUCUUCAAUCAUUGGCCAGUUCUCAGCACCCUUAGUGGUCCUACAAAUGCAUGAUUCCAUGCUUGCUUACACAGUCAAUGUCUUAAAACUGUACAUAAAAACAUUAUUAAAUGCCAAUUAAAGCAGUGAAGUUGUUUAUA